UCCCCUGCUUUGGCUCUUUCUCUGUGCGUGUGAGUCUGGGGUCUCUUCUUCCUGCCGUGCAGCCGUCGCUUUUUGUGCGUGAGGCUAGGGUCUCUCCUGCCAGCUCGCUCUCGCUCUUUGUGUGGGAGACUGGGGUCUUUCCUGUGCUCUCGCUUUGGCUCUUUGUUCGUGUGAGGCUGGGGUCUCUCCGAGUGAGGUUAGGGUCGCUUUCCUGCUUUUUUGCUGUUUCUCCGUGCGUGAGAGUCUGGGGUCUUUCCUGUUUUCUUGUUUUCGCGCUUUGUUCGUUUGAGGCUGGGGUCUCUCUUACUCUCGAUUCUUAUCUGUGCUUGUGGGGAUGGGGUCUCUUGGUUUCUCGGUUUUUCUGGGCAUGUGGGGUUGGGGUCUCUUGUUUUCUCUAUUUCUCUCGGCGUGUGGGGAUGGGGGUCUCUGCUGAUCGAUUUCGCUGGGUGCAUGAGACUGGGGUCUUUCUCCUACUUCCCUUCUUUCUCUGAGUGUGAGUCUGGGGUCUCUGUUUUCACUCUUUACCUGGGCGUGUGAGGCUGGGGUCUCUCUCUUGCUAAUUUUAUGCGCCAGAGGUGGGGGCUUUCCCGGGCGCGCGUGUUUAGCGCUAGCUUUCCGUGUUUGUGAGGCUGGGGGCUCUCUCCCUGCAUGUUUAUGAGGUGGGGGGUCUCUCACCCUCUGUGUGUGGUGAAGCUGGGGUCUCUCUUAUUUUUGUUCUUUAUCUGUGUGUAUGACUCUGGGGUCUUUUUGCCCGUUCUUGCGCUUUAUUUUUUUGUAGCGGCUGAAGCUGAGGUGUCUUCUGUUUAAAUAUAUGUAUAAUAUAUAUAUGUGUGUGUGUUUGUUUUUUUUUUCUCUUUGCUUGUGAAUCUGGGGGUCUUUUCCGUUUUUAAUUUUUAUUUUUCCCGGUGCGUGUGAAGCUGGGGUCUCUCUCCAGUUCUCGAUCUUUAUCUGGACAAACGAGUCAGGGGUCUUUUCCGCUGUUUUUUCUUCCUUUCUCUGUGUGUGAGGCUAGGGUCUCUUCUGGUGCCCCCAACCCCCUCCCAUCCCGUAUGUGUGAAGCUGGGGUCUCCCUAUUUUUCUCCCCUCUGCGUGUGAGAACGGGGUCUGUUCACUCCAGUCUUUCCCAGGGCGUGAGAUUGAGGUCUCCUAUAUAUAUAUUUUUUUCCUCUGUGGGUGAGGCUGGGGUCUCUCCUGCUUGCACUCUCCGUGUGUGUGUGUGCGCGCGCGGCGGGGUUGGGGUCUGUUUACCUAUACAUUUUUUUUUCCUUCUGUGCUUGUGAAGCCGGGGUCUGUCUCUUGCUCUCGCUCUCGUUUUUAUUAGAUUGUGAGGCUGGGGUCUACAUCUCCUGCUUGCGUUCUUAAUCUAUGUGCAUCAGGCUUGUGGUCUCUACUGGUUUCCUUAUUUGUUUAUUUUCUGUGCUUGUGAGGCCGGGGUCUCUCUUGCUUUCAACCUUUUUAUUAGCUUGUGAGGUUGGGACAUUUCUCCUAUUUUGGAUCUUUUAUCUUUUCCCGUGAGGCUGGGGUCUCUUGUCAGCAUACUCAAUGAGCUUGAAGCUAGGGGCUCUCUCGGGGGCGCGCGCUACCUCUAUGAAUUUGUGAGGCCGGGACCUUUUCCCGAGUUUGUUUAUGAAGCGGGGCCCUCAACCUCUUUGAGGACGGGGGCUCCGUUUCGCUUUUUCUUUGUGAGCCUAGGGGUGGGGGGAUGUCUCCUUCUCUUACUCUCGCCUUUGAGCGUGCGCGUGUGCGUGCGUGCGUGCGUGCGUGAGUCUGGGGUCUCUGGCUCGUACCUUCUUUGUAAUCGAGGCCCGGGACUUUCUUGGCUAUGACUUUACUUUCUUUGAGUGUGAGAGCCUGGGGUCUUCUUUGAUUCACUUUUCCUCACUCCUUUGGGGUGUGCGCGGGCUUGUGAAGCUGGUUGGUCCCUUCCACGCACGCUUUCCUUGGCUCUCAGUUCAAGUGAGGCUGGGGGCACCCGUGAAUGUUUGGAUACAGCCGCGGACUGAAAAAACCCUAGCGGGUUUUGCUAGCUGGUCUGGGUUCAACACCCUUUGAAAGUUUAAUCAGAAGUGGCCAUUAGACUCGCGUAACCCAUUGGUUCCUUAUAGAAAAUGUAAAAGACCCCCAGAGAGCGGGAACAGAUACUUUAUAAUCUUUAAAUGAAGGAAUCCUUUAGGAGACCGAGAAAACAAGCCUAAUAUGUGAUCAGUGGUGGGUCCGAAGACUUCCCAAAAUAUAGGGGGGCAAUUUUCAGGAUCCCAAGUGCACUUGGGCAAACUUUCCAGUUGCCUCCCUUCUCCCCCUCAGAGAAAGUGCAAAGAAAUGCAGAUUAGCCCGCAGACCACCGGGACAAUGCCCAAUUGCCUACUGCUGCUGUCCCAACCCAAGCACUGCCCUACCUCCAAAGACAUGAAAAUCAAUGCUUCUACAUGACAUUUCUAAUAGCUCAGAAGGGAUCACUAAAAUGGCCAGAACAUGGUGACUGAGCUGGGAGGAAGAGGAAGAGAAAGAGGAAGAGACACCAAACAAGAAAGAAACAGCACGGAGAUUGAAUAUCUGCAAACAAUGUCACUCACUGCAUCAGAAAAAAGAAAUUCUAAAGGAUAAAGCAAGAACUUAGAAAAUUUCACCACCUCAUAGUGAUCCACAAGCUGCAACCUACCUUCCAAAGGCCGCUUCCAGAAAACUUUAAGUCAUCCUCAAGGAUCUUGUACGAUUAUUGCACAUCCAUGGGAGAUUCAAGUUGGUGAGAGAUUCUUUAAGG